rnacentral:rRNA from 1 species
AUUGAACGCUGGCGGCAGGCCUAACACAUGCAAGUCGAAUGGUAACAGGAAACAGCUUGCUGUUUCGCUGACGAGUGGCGGACGGGUGAGUAAUGUCUGGGAAACUGCCUGAUGGAGGGGGAUAACUACUGGAAACGGUAGCUAAUACCGCAUAACGUCGCAAGACCAAAGAGGGGGACCUUCGGGCCUCUUGCCAUCAGAUGUGCCCAGAUGGGAUUAGCUAGUAGGUGGGGUAACGGCUCACCUAGGCGACGAUCCCUAGCUGGUCUGAGAGGAUGACCAGCCACACUGGAACUGAGACACGGCCCAGACUCCUACGGGAGGCAGCAGUGGGGAAUAUUGCACAAUGGGCGCAAGCCUGAUGCAGCCAUGCCGCGUGUAUGAAGAGGGCCUUCGGGUUGUAAAGUACUUUCAGCGGGGAGGAAGGGAGUAAAGUUAAUACCUUUGCUCAUUGACGUUACCCGCAGAAGAAGCACCGGCUAACUCCGUG